UGGCGAGUUGUGUAGUGGUAGCACAGAGGACUUUGAAUCCUUAUGCCCAGGUUCGAAUCCUGCUCGCCAG
rnacentral:tRNA from 1 species